GGGGCAAUAGCUCAUUUGGUAGAGCGUUCGCUUCGCAUGCGAAAGGCACCGGGUUCGACUCCCGGUUGCUCCA